GGGGAACCCUGAUCCAGCGACGCCGCGUGAGUGAAGAAGUAUUUCGGUAUGUAAAGCUCUAUCAGCAGGGAAGAAAGAAAUGACGGUACCUGACUAAGAAGCCCCGGCUAACUACGUGCCAGCAGCCGCGGUAAUACGUAGGGGGCAAGCGUUAUCCGGAUUUACUGGGUGUAAAGGGAGCGUAGACGGCGAUGCAAGUCUGAAGUGAAAGGCGGGGGCCCAACCCCCGGACUGCUUUGGAAACUGUAUGGCUGGAGUGCAGGAGAGGUAAGUGGAAUUCCUAGUGUAGCGGUGAAAUGCGUAGAUAUUAGGAGGAACACCAGUGGCGAAGGCGGCUUACUGGACUGUAACUGACGUUGAGGCUCGAAAGCGUGGGGAGCAAACAGGAUUAGAUACCCUGGUAGUCCACGCCGUAAACGAUAAUCACCAGGUGUCGGUGGGUAUGGACCCACCG
rnacentral:rRNA from 1 species